rnacentral:misc_RNA from 1 species
AAGAAGAUGUUUACUGGAAAAACGGUAAGAAUAUCUUCUCAUCAGUAUUGCAGCAACAGGAAUUGUUGUGCUGUAAUACUUUUUUUUAUUAGUACAAUGGAUGACUCUAUCCUGGUCCAUGCUUUAAACGAAUCCUUAGCAUUUGCAGUCUUGUUAGUUCUAAUCAAGUCAUUGUUGUUGUGUGUUGAUUGGUGUAUAAACUUUCAGAUAAGGGAGCUGAAGGAAAUGA